AAACAGGCGGUACAUACCUUCUCUCUCUACACCUUCUCUCUCGUUCUCUCUAAACAAGCGAUUCCCCAAAUUAAAUCACUGUAAUAUAAGAGGUUUAAAGAGAUUACAAUGAUGUAAGAUGGUCAUAUCCGUUAACGAUUCUCCCAAAUCCUUUAGCUUUUAUGUAAGGAGAUCAGAUUUCAACUUGUUUAAGGUAGCCAAGGAAUCUAAAACAGCUGGUAAAACUAUUGGGAUCGAUGUCGACAAUUAUUUUUGAUAGAAUACUAGGUUCUGUCCCUUUUGUGUGAGCCUUGCCUUGG